CAGCAGCCGCGGGAAUACGGAGGGCGCGAGCGUUACCCGGAUUUACUGGGCGUAAAGGGCGUGUAGGCGGCCUGGGGCGUCCCAUGUGAAAGGCCACGGCUCAACCGUGGAGGAGCGUGGGAUACGCUCAGGCUAGAGGGUGGGAGAGGGUGGUGGAAUUCCCGGAGUAGCGGUGAAAUGCGCAGAUACCGGGAGGAACGCCGAUGGCGAAGGCAGCCACCUGGUCCACUUCUGACGCUGAGGCGCGAAAGCGUGGGGAGCAAACCGGAUUAGAUACCCCAGUAGUCCCUGUCUCUUAUAC
rnacentral:rRNA from 1 species